GACGAACGCUGGCGGCGUGCUUAACACAUGCAAGUCGAACGGUGAAGCGCCUUCCUUUUUGGUGGGUGUGGAUGAGUGGCGAACGGGUGAGUAACACGCGAGUAACCUGCCCCCUUCUUCUGGAUAACCGCAUGAAAGUGUGGCUAAUACGGGAUAUUCUGGGUCUGUCGCAUGAUGGGUCUGGGAAAGAUAUUGUUUCGGUGGGGGAUGGGCUCGCGGCCUAUCAGCUUGUUGGUGGGGUGAUGGCCUACCAAGGCGGUGACGGGUAGCCGGCCUGAGAGGGUGGACGGUCACACUGGGACUGAGACACGGCCCAGACUCCUACGGGAGGCAGCAGUGGGGAAUAUUGCACAAUGGGCGCAAGCCUGAUGCAGCGACGCCGCGUGAGGGAUGGAGGCCUUCGGGUUGUGAACCUCUUUCGCCAGUGAAGCAGGCCUGCCUCGUUUGUGGGUGGGUUGACGGUAGCUGGAGAAGAAGCGCCGGCUAACUACGUG
rnacentral:rRNA from 1 species